rnacentral:rRNA from 1 species
GAUGAACGCUAGCGGGAGGCCUAACACAUGCAAGUCGAACGGGAUUGGGAGCUUGCUCCCAGGAGAGUGGCGCACGGGUGAGUAACGCGUAUGCAACCUACCUUUAACUGAGGGAUAGCCCAUAGAAAUGUGGAUUAAUACCCCAUAGUUCUUUUUGUCCUCCUGAACAGAUAGAUAAUGCUCCGCCGUUUAAAGAUGGGCAUGCGUGACAUUAGCUAGGUGGUAAGGUAACGGCUUACUAAGGCUACGAUUUCAAGGGGUUCUGAGAGGAUGAUCCCCAACACUGGUAGUGAGACACGGACCAGACUACUACGGGAGGCAGCAGUGAGGAAUAUUGGUCAAUGGGCGCAAGCCUGACACAGCCAUCCCGAGUGAAGGAUGAAGGCCCUAUGGGUCGUAAAAUUCUUUUAUGCACCAAGAAAAACACCCACGUGUGGGUGCCCGUCGGUAGUGUAUGAAUAAGCAUCGGCUAACUCCGUGCCAGCCGCCGCCGUAAUAC